rnacentral:rRNA from 1 species
CCUACGGGCGGCAGCAGUGGGGAAUAUUGGACAAUGGGGGGAACCCUGAUCCAGCCAUGCCGCGUGUGUGAAGAAGGCCCUCGGGUUGUAAAGCACUUUCAGUGAGGAAGAACGCCUGGUGGUUAAUACCCAUCAGGAAAGACAUCACUCACAGAAGAAGCACCGGCUAACUCCGUGCCAGCAGCCGCGGUAAUACGGAGGGUGCGAGCGUUAAUCGGAAUUACUGGGCGUAAAGCGCGCGUAGGUGGCUUGAUAAGCCGGUCGUGAAAGCCCCGGGCUCAACCUGGGAACGGCAUCCGGAACUGUCAAGCUAGAGUGCAGGAGAGGAAGGUAGAAUUCCCGGUGUAGCGGUGAAAUGCGUAGAGAUCGGGAGGAAUACCAGUGGCGAAGGCGGCCUUCUGGACUGACACUGACACUGAGGUGCGAAAGCGUGGGUAGCAAACAGGAUUAGAUACCCCAGUAGUC